rnacentral:rRNA from 1 species
AACAGGAUUAGAUACCCUGGUAGUCCACGCCGUAAACGAUGGAUACUCGCUGUGGGCGAUACACAGUCCGCGGCUUAGCGAAAGCGUUAAGUAUCCCACCUGGGGAGUACGCCGGCAACGGUGAAACUCAAAGGAAUUGACGGGGGCCCGCACAAGUGGUGGAGCAUGUGGUUUAAUUCGAUGAUACGCGAGGAACCUUACCGAGGCUAGAAUGCGCGUGACCGGCCCAGAGAUGGGCCUUUCCUUCGGGACACAAAGCAAGGUGCUGCAUGGCCGUCGUCAGCUCGUGCCGUGAGGUGUUGGGUUAAGUCCCGCAACGAGCGCAACCCCUAUGUUUAGUUGCCAGCGGAUUAUGCCGGGGACUCUAGACAGACUGCCUGCGCAAGCAGCGAGGAAGGCGGGGACGACGUCAGGUCAUCAUGGCCCUUACGCCUCGGGCUACACACGUGCUACAAUGGACGGUACAGAGGGUCGCCACGCAGCGAUGCGGAGCCAAUCUCAAAAAGCCGUUCUCAGUUCGGAUCGGAGUCUGCAACUCGACUCCGUGAAGCUGGAAUCACUAGUAAUCGCGUAUCAGCAACGACGCGGUGAAUACGUUCCCGGGCCUUGUACACACGGCCCGUCAAGCCAUGGAAGUCUGGUAGACCUAAAGCUGGUGCCCCGCAACGGAGCCAGUUAGGGUAGAACAGGUAACUGGGGCUAAGUCGUAACAAGGUAACC